CUGAAACGACAGGGGAGCGCACCCCGCCGACAACGGCGGCACAGCGCUGAGAGUGCGGAUCACCGCAGACCCUCGAACCUGCUCCGGUUAGCACCGGCGAAGGGAGUCGAGCACCUCAGGGG
rfam:Kocuria sp. SM24M-10 KSP00132, whole genome shotgun sequence.